rnacentral:tRNA from 1 species
AGCUCCGAGGUGUUAGCACGUUAGAUUGCAAAUCUGAAAGUGCAGGAUAGUUACCUGCCGGGGCUU